AGAGUUUGAUCCUGGCUCAGGACGAACGCUGGCGGCGCGCCUAACACAUGCAAGUCGAACGAGCGAGAGAGAGCUUGCUUUCUCAAGCGAGUGGCGAACGGGUGAGUAACGCGUGAGGAACCUGCCUCAAAGAGGGGGACAACAGUUGGAAACGACUGCUAAUACCGCAUAAGCCCACGACCCGGCAUCGGGUAGAGGGAAAAGGAGCAAUCCGCUUUGAGAUGGCCUCGCGUCCGAUUAGCUAGUUGGUGAGGUAACGGCCCACCAAGGCGACGAUCGGUAGCCGGACUGAGAGGUUGAACGGCCACAUUGGGACUGAGACACGGCCCAGACUCCUACGGGAGGCAGCAGUGGGGAAUAUUGCACAAUGGGGGAAACCCUGAUGCAGCGACGCCGCGUGGAGGAAGAAGGUCUUCGGAUUGUAAACUCCUGUUGUUGAGGAAGAUAAUGACGGUACUCAACAAGGAAGUGACGGCUAACUACGUGCCAGCAGCCGCGGUAAAACGUAGGUCACAAGCGUUGUCCGGAAUUACUGGGUGUAAAGGGAGCGCAGGCGGGAAGACAAGUUGGAAGUGAAAUCCAUGGGCUCAACCCAUGAACUGCUUUCAAAACUGUUUUUCUUGAGUAGUGCAGAGGUAGGCGGAAUUCCCGGUGUAGCGGUGGAAUGCGUAGAUAUCGGGAGGAACACCAGUGGCGAAGGCGGCCUACUGGGCACCAACUGACGCUGAGGCUCGAAAGUGUGGGUAGCAAACAGGAUUAGAUACCCUGGUAGUCCACACCGUAAACGAUGAUUACUAGGUGUUGGAGGAUUGACCCCUUCAGUGCCGCAGUUAACACAAUAAGUAAUCCACCUGGGGAGUACGACCGCAAGGUUGAAACUCAAAGGAAUUGACGGGGGCCCGCACAAGCAGUGGAGUAUGUGGUUUAAUUCGACGCAACGCGAAGAACCUUACCAAGUCUUGACAUCCUGCGACGCACAUAGAAAUAUGUGUUUCCUUCGGGACGCAGAGACAGGUGGUGCAUGGUUGUCGUCAGCUCGUGUCGUGAGAUGUUGGGUU
rnacentral:rRNA from 1 species